ACCUAAGCAUGUAGAACAAGGAGCCUCUUUAUUGACUGAAGGUGGCUACAGGGAGGUGCCCAUUUUGUUUUCACCCUGUGUCUUGAAGCUUGAAUAAUCAUCUCCUAUCCUCCCAUGAAUGACAUGUAGCAGAUACCAAUGGAGGAAAACCUGUGUCCUUCCACCGACCGUGUGUAUCAUACAGGAGUCCGCUACAUGUUGGCGAUACAAUCAUUGAAAUGACAGAAGUGGAAAGACUGGAACACCAUAAAGGAAAUGACUCCAAUAUUCUGGACGUUCAUGUACGAGAGAUAACAUCCAAGUCAAGUACUUUUGGAUUCUUUGAAGUCAUGGUGAUGACAUUCAGAAAUUUUGGACUGCGUAAUAGACCCUUCCCAUGAAUUAUGCUUAUUUCAUUCAGGCAUGCUUACAGACACAGGCAAGCGCCAUAUGAAUGUGCACUAAGCAGGUGCAUGCAUGCAGUCAUGCCACUAUCAUCUCCAUGCAAAAAGGCGUGAUGUUCCUUCAUUUUGCCAACCAAAGUGUUAGUGUGCAGGCGUGAUGUCUAAUUUACAUAUUUCAUGGGAAGUGUCUACUAAGUAAAUGGACUACAACUGAACACCAAUCAAGAACGCUCGCGUCAAGAGCGCUCAAGUCAAGA